rnacentral:rRNA from 1 species
AGUGAACGCUGGCGGUAGGCCUAACACAUGCAAGUCGAACGGCAGCACAGGAGAGCUUGCUCUCUGGGUGGCGAGUUGCGGACGGGUGAGGAAUACAUCGGAAUCUACUUUUUCGUGGGGGAUAACGUAGGGAAACUUACGAUAAUACCGCAUACGACCUACGGGUGAAAGCAGGGGAUCUUCUGAACUCGCUCGAUUGAAUGAGCCGAUGUAGGAUUAGCUAGUUGGCGGGGUAAAGGCCCACAAAGGGGACGAUCCGUAGCUGGUCUGAGAGGAUGAUCAGCCACACUGGAACUGAGACACGGUCCAGACUCCUACGGGAGGCAGCAGUGGGGAAUAUUGGACAAUGGGCGCAAGCCUGAUCCAGCCAUACCGCGUGGGUGAAGAAGGCCUUCGGGUUGUAAAGCCCUUUUGUUGGGAAAGAAAUCCAGCUGGUUAAUACCCUGGGGUCAUGACGGUACCGUAAGAAUAAGCACCGGCUAACUACGUGCCAGCCGCCGCCGUAA